AGAGUUUGAUCCUGGCUCAGGAUGAACGCUGGCGGCGUGCCUAAUACAUGCAAGUCGAACGAGGUGUUUUUGUAGCAAUACGAGAGUAUCCUAGUGGCGAACGGGUGAGUAACGCGUUGGUGACCUACCCCAAAGUGUGGGAUAACAGUCCGAAAGGAUUGCUAAUACCGCAUGUGGUCACUGGAUUUAGAAACUGAUGACUAAAGGAGCAAUUCGCUUUGGGAGGGACCUGCGUCCCAUCAGCUAGUUGGUGAGGUAACGGCUCACCAAGGCGACGACGGGUAGGGGACCUGAGAGGGUGACCCCCCACAAUGGAACUGAAACACGGUCCAUACACCUACGGGUGGCAGCAGUAGGGAAUAUUGCACAAUGGGCGAAAGCCUGAUGCAGCAACGCCGCGUGUGUGAUGAAGGCCUUCGGGUCGUAAAGCACUUUUCUGGGAGAUGAGAAAGGACAGUUCCCCAGAUUAGUCG
rnacentral:rRNA from 1 species